CCUACGGGAGGCAGCAGUGAGGAAUAUUGGUCAAUGGUCGGGAGACUGAACCAGCCAAGCCGCGUGAGGGAGGAAGGUACAGAGUAUCGUAAACCUCUUUUGUCAGGGAACAAAGGCGGGGACGUGUCCCCGGAUGAGUGUACCUGAAGAAAAAGCAUCGGCUAACUCCGUGCCAGCAGCCGCGGUAAUACGGAGGAUGCGAGCGUUAUCCGGAUUUAUUGGGUUUAAAGGGUGCGCAGGCGGUCUGUUAAGUCAGCGGUCAAAGCCCGGGGCUCAACCCCGGCCCGCCGUUGAAACUGGCAGUCUCGAGUUGGAGAGAAGUAUGCGGAAUGCGCGGUGUAGCGGUGAAAGGCAUAGAUAUCGCGCAGAAAUCCGAUUGCGAAGGCAGCAUGCCGGCUCCACACUGACGCUGAGGCACGAAAGCGUGGGUAUCGAACAGGAUUAGAUACCCGGGUAGUC
rnacentral:rRNA from 1 species